AGGGCAGUGGUGCAAUCAUAGCUUACUGCAGCCUCAAACUCCUGAGCUCAAGCAAUUCUCCCACCUCUGCCUCCUGAGAAGCUGGGAAUACAAAAAAAAAAUUAAAAUAAAAAAACACCAGAGUUUCACUCGUCACCCAGGCUGGAGUGCAAUGGCACGAUCUCGGCUCACUGCAACCUCCACCUCCCAGGUUCAAGCGAUUCUCCUGCCUCAGCUUCCCAAAUAGCUAGAAUUACAGGCACCCACCACCAUACCUGGCUAAUUUUUGUAUUGUUAGUAGAGACGGGUUUUCACCAUACUGGCCAGGCUAAGUCUCGAACUUCUGACCUCAGGUGAUCUACCCACCUUGGCCUCCCAAAUUGCUGGGAUUACAGGUGUGAGCCACCACACCUGGCCUAAUUUUUUAA
rnacentral:lncRNA from 1 species